CCGGAAGUCACGCACUCUGUUUCCUCAUUCGGAAACGUGAACCGGCAUGAUGGCGUGAAUGGACACCCGGCAGGUAAGUGGAGGGAUGAGUGUCUGUGUGAAUGUGUGUUUAAGUUAACCGAUAGAGCUCUAAGUGUGCAACCUUGGUUACCCUAUCCAACAGAGAAGGGAGAAGGAAAAGUAGCGCUGUUUAGUGGGGAGGGAAAUGAUUGGCGUGUAUGUAGGUCUGUAUGUGUGGCUCCAUCCGCUGCCCGCAGUCAGUGAGGACGCCGCUCCCUCACAUCCGCUAAACGUUAAAAUUGCGGUAAUAUUUCUAAUGUUAUACUAGUAGUGAUAUUUCCACAUUCAUUGAUAAAAAUGGCUCAAGGGAUGGAUCGUUGGGAUGACCGUUUUAGAAGGGGGAUAUUUUGGCCAUUUUCAUUUUAAGGGGAUGCCAUCCCCCCUCAUCCCCCUCUACAGUUUAUAUGUAUUCACAGGUUUUUUUUAAGCCUGUGAGCCAAUAAUCCUUUGGAAACUGUGCAAACUCUUCUAAUCUUAGAUGAGGGUGAUAAUGUAAACUGUGGCUGCAGAGUCAGGAGAGGUCCUGGCACUCCUGCUGUAGGGGAGAGUGGGGUAAGUUGAGCCAGAGGGUUAGACAUUUAUUAAAAAAAAAAACAUUUUUCACUCUUGAAAGUGAAUUUAGUCUGUCAUAAGUUUUAUUAGAAUUAUGUUCAGACCAAAAAAAAUCAUUUUAAAUUUGUUUAAUACAUCUUGCUCCCAGUGUGUGUCCUCCACUGGUGUAUGAUUGUGAGUGUUGUGUGGUGGUGGUUAGAGAGGCUGUAGGCACAAACUGGCAGCCAUGUUUCCGUCAGUCUGCCCCAGUACAGCUGUGACUACUAAGGUAGUUUACCACUGUGUGAAUGAAUGAAUGAUGUAUCCAAUGUAAAGCGCUUUGAGGGUCUCUGAUAAAGCACUGUAUGAAUUUUGAUGCCUUAAAUAAUUGAUAUAACUAUCACAUUUUUUAAAGAAAACAUAAUAUUUGCUGUCUAAACUUGGCAUAGUUGGUAUUUUUCACUUAAACAACUUGGCAUAAGUUGGAGUGAGCUUUGUGUUUUGAACUAGUAUCUUUAUGUUGGCACUGCUCAACGACAAUAGUUGUCAUGACUCAAAAUAAUCUUGCUCACUCUCUAUUUUUAGUUAAGACAACUGAUCACUAUUAACAGUGCCAACAUCUUACAAAUGACAUGUUUUACUUACAUUUUAUACUAUAACUAGAAUGGUUGUUUUGGGGCUGAACAAAGAGACAACUUUUAAUUUGAAAGUAGAUGAUAGAUGUGGGGGUUUUGGCAUCCCUACAGGAGGGGUGGGAAGAGUUAUGGGGUGCGCCUUUUCCCUCCAAAAUAGCUGUCCCGCUCGCUCCCUCUUGCCCGAGGCUCUUUUCUUCUUCUCUACGAGCCUGUGCGUAACAGAAAGGCAGAGGAUGAAUCCUCCCCUGAAAUGGGCGCUAAUCCUGUUGGUCCUCUUCUCCAUCAUUCUCAACAUAGUUCUGAUCGGAAUUCGCUCCGGCGGGUCGCCCAAAUGUUCCGCUCGGAGCGUCCACCCGCUGCGGGCCAAGCACGACGAGCGCAGCGUCGUGUUCGCUGACCUCACCCGGGAGGAGUACGUGCAGGUCCAGAAAUUCAUGCUCCAGCAGAAAGACAUGGACAUAUCCACCAAGCAGCUCACUGAACCAUGGCAGAACUUCUUGUUUUUGAUAGACCUGUCUCUACCAAAGAAAGCAGAUGCGCUUGCUUACUUGGACGGAGAAGCUCCCAAACCGACCAGAGAGGCGACUGUGGUGGUCUUCUUCGGUGCGCAACGCCGCAUAAAGGAAUACGUCGUGGGUCCUCUCCCAAACCCGACAUACUACAGGGACGUAACCCGGGAGAAGUACAAGACAGACCUGCCUAUCACUGCACGCACGACCACAAUAGGGGAAUACGCAUUGCUUUUUUCGUUUUUUGACGAACAUGUGUUCUCCAAACUUAAGACGCUCAUGAAAGAGAGCUUCGACGUGGGGGGUGACAAGAAGCUGAAUGGGUUUGAGCAGAUGCCCCGUGGAGUCCAGUCCGGAGACAGAAAAACCUGGGUGUCUUUCUUCAGGGAUAUGAGCGGUGUUUAUGUCCACCCUGUGGGGUUUGAGGUGCAGGUUAACCACGAGAGCGUAAACGCUUCUCAAUGGAAGGUGGAGAAGCUGUAUUAUAACGGCCAAUACUUUGACUCAGUAGAAGACCUGAAACAGAAAUAUGAAGCUGAGUCAAUAAAGAAAAUAGUCUAUAAGGAAUCAGAUGACCAUGGAUCACUGAAACCAAGACAGAAGCCCCAGCAGAUCGGUCCGCAGAUGUUUCAUGUGGAUGGAAAACGCUACAGCGUCAGUAACAACCACGUCCUGUACCUGGACUGGAGCUUUGCCUUUGGACUCAGCUCGGUCACCGGUGCGAGGGUGUUUGAUGUGCGUUUUAAGGGGGAGAGGAUCAUCUACGAGCUGAGUGUGCAGGAGGCAAUGUCUGUGUACGGUUCAGUGACACCGGGGAUGAUGAUGACCAAAUUCUUAGACUCCAGCAUCGGAAUAGGACGCUUUGCACAUGAACUGACCCGUGGCGUGGACUGCCCUUACGAUGCAACUUACAUCGACACAUACCGCUAUUUUGAUGUCCCAACCCCGGUCAGAUUUAGGAAUUCAAUUUGCGUUUUUGAGCAUAAUUUGGGUCAACCUCUGCGGAGGCACUUCUCUGACUUCUUCCACAAUAGUUAUGGAGGGAUGGUAAACAGCGCACUGGUGAUGAGGACCAUAACAGCAAUUGAAAACUAUGACUACAUGUGGGAUUUUAUCUUCUACCAGAGUGGAUCAGUGGAAGCUAAGGUGCACGCCACUGGUUACAUCUCCUCUUCUUACCUGGUAGAUGGUAAUCUGAGAUAUGGGCACCAAGUGGCGGACAAGGUGCUUGGGAACAUCCACACCCACUUCAUGAACUUUAAGGUGGAUCUGGAUGUGUCAGGUGAGUGAUAAAAAAACUUAAAAGUUGUGUGUCCAUGCAGGGAGAGCAAUGGUAGAGAGCAAUGUUGGACAUGACUAGUAUUCUAAGAAACAGAACAACUGACCUGUUUGCCCUGAAUGUCAAAAAUAACAGUCAGUAAAUGGUCUGAUAAUGAGUAAAUGAACACAAGGAGAAUCAUAAGGACACCGUAAACAAAUGCCCAUAAGCUACUAUGAUGUGUUAUGUAUUAUAAGUAAAUUUUCAGAUGAUAGUUUAAAGGAGAAAUGACUGUUUACUAUACAGUAAAGCUUAGCUUACCAGGGGUGUGUCCAGUGGGAUGGCAGGAUGGUGGCCAUGGCCCUCAUUGAAAUAUAAUAUCUAUCUAUAUAAAUAUAAAAUGGUUAUUGGCCUUGUCAGAAGUGGGAUUUAUGUCAAAAUCAACUAUUUGUGUUUUAACAGGCUGCCACUACCUAUUUUUUAAAUAUUAUACUUAUAUGAUUGUUAAUACUAUUUUAUUUUAUCUUUUUUCCAAGGAUUUUUACUUGUGACAGAAGGAGAGGAGAUGGAAAGAGUUUUUAUUCAUAUGUUCUUGCACACAUUAUGCUUGCAUCCCUGCAAAAAAAUCAGUGCCCUGGUUGGGCCACCCCAAUCAGAAGAAAUUGAAACAUGCUUCUGUAGCUUGUAAUAAAAUAUUAGUUCAGGAGAAUGUAUUUGCUUGGCCACCUUGAAAGUAUAGGGUGUCUUUCUUUACAUUAAAUUAAAUCAAAUAGGUAAUAUUGGUUUUAUCAGACUCUACUGUUGAGCCACAGCCACCUCAAACAUUCACUGUGAAUUGAUUUUUCCUUAACUACUUAUAUUUUAAUGUUACUUGAUCAUUUAUUAAUUUAUGAUAUACCUCACAUUUCUCAUACUUUCAAUUAUAAUGAGUCAUGCAUCAGUUAGAUACUACACAUGAAUGUGAUUAACGUCUUAGACAGUGUGAACAGAAUUUAAAGGAAAGUUGAGGCUCAGGAGUGACACAUUAGCACAAUAAAUAAUCAUACAUCUGGAUGCAUACAUCUGGAUUUUAUCCCAUUAUACUUUGGAAACAUACAAAAUGUCAUAUAAAUAGAUGAUAUUAAAUAUCUAAACUGGACAAAACAGUAGCAUGUAUGCGUGUUUCUUUUGCAGGUUUGAAGAAUGUUUUCCAGACCAAAGAUAUGCAGUUUGUUAACACGUCUCUGCCAUGGAUGCCUCAGCAUUACGCUAUGGUCCCUCAGCUUGUGGAGAAACAGCUUAAAACUGAAAAGGUCAGUCUUUUUUGAUUAAAAAGUCAACAUUUAUGAUUCUUUCAACAUAGACGAUGAGCCAGUUAUCCUAAUCUUUUCAUUUGAAUCUGAAAACUCAAAGAUUUAUAAACAUUCCUGGAACUUGGUCUGUUUCAGUUUUUUUUUUCAGGCAUGAGGUCAUUUCAUGAACCCGCUGUCUAACAGCAGGGGGCAGCAGUGUCCUGUAGAGGCUCACUGAAACAGUUGAAUCCAUAAGCUCUUUUAAGUUCAUUUACGGACAGAUUAUCAAAAAUACUUACAGUAAAUUGAAUGUCCCAUAUAAACCACAGAUUACCUGGAGCAUGGACACAUACAAUGAUCCAAAAAUCUUAACUAAACACUAAUUUCAUAGUUUGUUGUUGGACUGUGAACCAGACGUAAAUGCCAAAGUAAACAUCUGAGUUUUUCCUUAAAAGCUCCUGUAUUUCCUUAUGCUAAGUCCCAGGAAACAAAAUUGCUGUGUUUACCCCAAACUAGUCUAUAAAUAUGAUAUAAGUGAAUGUGACUGGCUCAACUCCAAGCAGACUGGGUGGGAGGAUACGAAACACACCCCAGCAAAUAAAUCACCAGCUCAAAUAUGUCCAUGGGUUCCAUGUUGGUGAGUGUUUGACACACAUUUCCCCCCAAUCCCUGUGAGAUACAGCAAAAGUUUGGUUCAUGUUACCCUUAUGUGAGCCUGUUGGAGCUCAGCCUGUCUGCUCCACUGAAACAUGCUCCUUCAAAAAUGUAGAAAGAGACGAACUUUGUUAUGUAUUCACAAAUUUAAUACAGAUUGAUGUGAUUUUUAGUUGAAUCAUGGUUAAUUUGAGACAAAUGCCUAUUGUGACUCCUCCACAGGAAGCUGCUCUGCGUUAUGACACAAAGACUCCACGUUACCUCCACAUUGCGAGCAACCAGACCAACCGCUGGGGCCACCAGCGCUCCUACAGGCUGCAGGUGUACAGCUUCGCCGGGGACCACCUCCCAGAGGGCCAGGCAGAAGAAAGAUCCAUGUCCUGGGCCAGGUGAGACUGCCAUGACCCACAAGACAGACCUAGGUUUUCAGUCUUGGUUCUGUUGGCCUCCCAUUGUAGACUCUCUGUGCCUCCUCAGGUAUAAGGUUGCUAUCACCAAGCACAAAGACACGGAGAGGACAAGCUCUAGUCUCUACAGUCUAAACAACAUGUGGACUCCUGCUGUUGACUUCAGCAAAUACAUUGAAGACAACGAAAGCAUUGAGAAUGAGGUGUGUUGAGUUAUUGGUCACAAAUAAUGACUUAAUGAUUAAAAAAUACUUCUAUUCUGAUUCAUUAGCUGAACGGAUUUUCAUAAUCUGUACUAAACUGCAUCUGUAGGACCUGGUUGCCUGGGUGACUGCCGGUUUCCUCCACAUCCCCCAUGCUGAGGACAUCCCCAACACGGUUACAGUGGGCAACGGAGGCGGAGUCCUGCUGCGGCCACACAACUACUUUGACGAAGACCCCUCUAUCCACUCUGCUGAUGGGGUGUAUAUUGCGCCUGGCGCUGAAGACAGCUGUGAGAACAACAGGAUGGCCUGCCUCACUGAGGAGACCUGCAGCCCCGUCCUGGAGGCCUUCACCUACCAUGGUUUUGAUGGAGCCUUGAAGUUUGAAGAAUGGGACUAAUUCACUGAGCGCAAACAGGUAAAUAGAUCAAUCCCAGGAGAGACUGUGAUUACAGUAAACACCAUCAACAAGUACUCAUUAUUCUUUUGUGUGUUACACCAAGAUACAAACAGACCUGGUCACCUGUUGCAACACAUGACAAAAACUUGAUUUAGGAUUGUAGUUUGGCUCCUUUCAUAAUAAAACCUAUAAUAAAAAGUUGUACCUAUGUAUCAAAGAUAUAUGUAAAAGAUAUAAUAAUAAUAAUAAAUAAUGCUAGUCACACAAAAUCAGUUUUAAAAGUGUGGUCAUGGGGACUUUUGGCUUAGCCUGAGGUUGGUAUAUGCAGUUAAAAAAUAUCAUGUUUUGUGCAUGUUUAGUUAACAUUUUGAUUUAAAUUGGUUUAUUACAAGUUUACUUACAACCCUAAAAAGUAUUAUCAUAUUGGGACUUAAAAGAUAUAAAUAAUCAGUGUUAUUUAAAGAUUCAUUGCUGUAUUUCUUGGCUGGAUUGUUCUCAUAACAUAAUGAAGGAAAGGGGCUUUCAAAGUCUCCCCUUUACUCUGAUUAUUUUUGCUAUUUCAAAGCUGUUCAUGCUUCUUUUCAUCUUAUUUUCCAGGUUGAAUCUCCCAUUAAAGCCCAUUAACAAUCAAAUCUUCAAUAUCCGAUGGCCUCAUGCACCAAAGACAACACUAGGAGGAGCAGUAUUCAACACCUCUUCUUCAUUAUAAAAGAAGAAUCUUGAGGAAUUACUUGAAAAGAAAAGAGUUUACGGUGGUGAGUUAGUGAAUGUCAACCAAAGUUUUAAAGUACUUUGUUUUGUUUUGUUUUUUUUAAAGUUCAGGACUGGUAAAGCCCAACAAUGUGCUUUAUUAAAAGGGAAAGUAUAGGUCAUUUUGUAAAGGUACAGACUGUAUCCAACUUGAAACCAUAUGCUCACACAGAUAAAGAUAUAAACAGACAAUUUCACACACAGACAUCCCACAGACUAAACAUACCAAAUGUAUUCAUGUAGAAAUGACUGAAUGUCCUUCUACAUCAAGUCCCAUUUUGCACUUUUAUGUUGUUUCAUUUUGGACGACUCUUGAUGACACAGCUGUAAAUCAGGAAAUAUCUGUGAAGGACUUCAAUAAAAGCCUUUCUGAAUUAUUUGACAUAUAUAUUCCUUUGUCAGGAUGUUAAAACUUUUAAAAUAGCUGCGUAUGAAAGGCUUCUACUCUAAGGUCAUUCACCUUGUUUACAGUUGUAGGCUGUUUUUAUCUUGCACUUUCACCUGACUCCACCAUCGAGUCACUGCCGCCCCAUCAGCUCAGUGAUUACUCCUGUGCCUUUCUUUGUGUCCUGGGGCAGUUAAAAACAACAAACAGGAUUAUCUCAUGGUCACACAUACCCCAGCAAAUGAUGGACAGUAAAAUCUUACAUGUGAAUGAUAUAUUUUAUUAUUUUAUGGAAUACUUACAAUGGUAAUCAAUUUUUAUAACAAUUAUCUAUGAAUCAUACUAAGGUUGAGACAAACCCAAGGUGAGGCAGAUAAUAUGGAUUGAACCUUCAGCACCAGGUUGUCAAACCCUGCAGCAAAUGAUGUUAACAUGAGUUAUACAAAAGUAAUAUGACUAACACAACCUUUCCUCUUUAACAAUGCAAUAAAAAUAAUAAAAAGGACAAGAAUAUUGAAAA
rnacentral:lncRNA from 1 species